CCCUUCUCUGGGCCUGUUUCCUCCUUGAUAAAAUGGGAAUAAUAAUAUGUAUUAUCUCAUUUAAUCCUCACAAAAGACCCAGGAGAUGUUUAUUUUUCCUAUUUUACUGGUUAGGCAGCUGAGGUUGGGAGGUAUGAAGUCAUGCGCCAAGCAGUAGGUGACAAACAAGACAGCUGGUAAAUAUGACACUUUCAGGGAGUGAUCCAGUCAAGGAAGACAUCAACACAGCACGAUGGGCUGAAGCGUGCCGGGCAGGUGCAUGUUGUAACCUGGAAGGCUUCCCUGCCCUGCCUUCACUCACUUCAUAGAGAGGAACAUUUUCUGUAAGUUGAAACACGCUAGGCAGGGUGGGGGGGUUCUUAGGAUCCCCUCUGAGUGGGGACAAGUGGCCUGGCUCUGGCAUCUUCUGAGACUGGAGUGAGUCAGGUUGUCAGUUCAUUUCUAGAGGUAGGACACCUGGCCAGUCACCAUGUAAGAGCGCUGGCCAGUCUUAGAGAAUUCUCUUUGUAUAAAUUGUUCUGGCUACUGGAGCCCAGAGUGGGCAGGGGCCUGGCCUGUGGAGGCACACUGAAUAGCAAUAGGGCUCUUUCCUCUAUCCCGGGCUGCCAGGCCAAGUCACAGUGAAACCUGGAUUGACAGAAACACUUGGGGACAGGAAUCUAGGGAUGGAAAGAUUCGGCACAGAGGUGGAGCCUGUCGCCACAGCUGUUCCCUGGGCAUCUGUCUGCAUGUUCUGGGUCCUGGGCUUGCCUUAAAGUGCAGAACUGAGGCUGCUGCAUGACGGAAGCCCCUCCCAGCCCCCUUCAAUGAGCCUCACCCACAGCAAUAUCUCAAGUGCCACACCUAGAACCUCAGCUGAUAGGCUGCAAACAUCCAUGCACCCACUGUCAAUUCCUUAUUAAUUUCAUCUUACACUCCAUUGUCCCAAAGUCUGCUUUUUCAUGCAUCCAUCUCCAUCUACCCAUUCAUUUAAUUAUUACUUCAAUAAAGCAUUCAUCAAUUCAU